rnacentral:rRNA from 1 species
UACGAAGGGGGCUAGCGUUGUUCGGAAUUACUGGGCGUAAAGCGCACGUAGGCGGCUCUUUAAGUCGGGGGUGAAAUCCUGGAGCUCAACUCCAGAACUGCCUUCGAUACUGAAGAGCUCGAGUCCGGGAGAGGUGAGUGGAACUGCGAGUGUAGAGGUGAAAUUCGUAGAUAUUCGCAAGAACACCAGUGGCGAAGGCGGCUCACUGGCCCGGUACUGACGCUGAGGUGCGAAAGCGUGGGGAGCAAACAGG